rnacentral:rRNA from 1 species
GAUGAACGCUGGCUACAGGCUUAACACAUGCAAGUCGAGGGGAAACGGCAUUGAGUGCUUGCACUGAAUGGACGUCGACCGGCGCACGGGUGAGUAACGCGUAUCCAACCUUCCCGUUACUGCGGGAUAACCUGCCGAAAGGCAGACUAAUACCGCAUGUUCUUCGAUGACGGCAUCAGAUUCGAAGCAAAGAUCCGUCGGUAACGGAGGGGGAUGCGUCUGAUUAGCUAGUUGGCGGGGCGACGGCCCACCAAGGCGACGAUCAGUAGGGGUUCUGAGAGGAAGGUCCCCCACAUUGGAACUGAGACACGGUCCAAACUCCUACGGGAGGCAGCAGUGAGGAAUAUUGGUCAAUGGGCGGAAGCCUGAACCAGCCAAGUAGCGUGCAGGAUGACGGCCCUACGGGUUGUAAACUGCUUUUAUGCGGGGAUAAAGUGAGGGACGCGUCCCUUUCUGCAGGUACCGCAUGAAUAAGGACCGGCUAAUUCCGUG